AACGAACGCUGGCGGCAUGCCUAACACAUGCAAGUCGAACGAGAUCUUCGGAUCUAGUGGCGCACGGGUGCGUAACGCGUGGGAAUCUGCCCUUUGCUUCGGAAUAACAGUUAGAAAUGACUGCUAAUACCGGAUGAUGUCUUCGGACCAAAGAUUUAUCGGCAAAGGAUGAGCCCGCGUAGGAUUAGGUAGUUGGUGGGGUAAAGGCCUACCAAGCCGACGAUCCUUAGCUGGUCUGAGAGGAUGAUCAGCCACACUGGGACUGAGACACGGCCCAGACUCCUACGGGAGGCAGCAGUGGGGAAUAUUGGACAAUGGGCGAAAGCUGAUCCAGCAAUGCGCGUGAGUGAUGAAGGCCUU
rnacentral:rRNA from 1 species